CGUUUCAUGAAACUUAGUUGAUUUAUAUUUAUAGUUUUUAUAUGUUUUAUUUCUUUUAGAGUAUUUUUUGGAACAAUAUCAUUAUCUAAUGUUAUCAUGAAGUCAACGAGUUGUGAUUUAUUGAAUAAACAAUUUUUAACAAAUUGGUUUGAGAACACAAGAAUAUUGGAAGUCAAGUUUUGAGAAGAGCAUCAAACACUGCCUAGAUCAAGAUCUUAUUAGCAAAGUGUGAAAAAAAGAUGGGGCUUGGCAGGCAACAAAUAUAGAUAUAUCGAGAAGUAUCAAACGUCAGCUCAUGCAAGCAUCAAGUUGGAAUUAUUGUAGAAGUUUAGAACUAUUGUAGAACUUUUCACUAACCUUAAACUUUUAUAUGUAUUGUAUUGAAAGACUAUUUUAUUGAAAUAAAAAUAUUUGGUAA